UACGUAGGGGGCAAGCGUUGUCCGGAUUUAUUGGGCGUAAAGAGCGUGUAGGCGGCCCAGUCAGGUCCGUUGUGAAAACUCGAGGCUCAACCUCGAGACGCCGAUGGAAACCGACUGGCUAGAGUCCGGAAGAGGAGAGUGGAAUUCCCGGUGUAGCGGUGAAAUGCGCAGAUAUCGGGAAGAACACCCGUGGCUAAGGCGGCUCUCUAGUACGGUACUGACGCUGAGGAGCGAAAAGCGUGGGGGAUCAAACAGG
rnacentral:rRNA from 1 species